UUUGAAUUCAAUUCUGACUAAUCAGCUUUUGUUUCCAUUAAUAUCAAUUAAAUCCAAAACCAAUCCAGAUUAAGCGUCCACUAUGAAUAUAUGAUAUUCAUCAAGCUUUAAUCUGUAUUCAAUCUCAAAUUAAUUUCAAUUAAUGUCGAUUAAUCAAAAUAACCAUAAAAAUGGGAAUUAGGGUUGUAUGUCACGAUUCACCUUGUUUCAGAAGAAGAAGAUCUCCCUCCUUCUACACCGUAACGGCGGAGCAUCUCUCGUCUCCGGCAAGCUUCUACUCCCUCCCUCUCGAAUUCACGGCGGCCGAAGAUUAUCAAGCCUCCUUUCGAUCAGCCUUUCCCUCUCUCGAACUCAUCUCGGUGAAGAUGUGUCGUGAUGUUGUUGUAUGUACGUGAUGAAUCAAGGUUUGUGAAGUUCGUUGGGGUUGCACACUGAUAUUUUCACGUGAAGGAGCAAACUCGGUGAUGAUUGGCGAUUCGACACGUCGCGAAGUCGCUGAUGAAUCGAUGAAGGUUUUGGAGAUUUUCUUUGGUGAAAUGAUGAAUCCUGAAGCAGAUUGAUGAAGAGUUGAAGAUCGAAGUUGUUGAAGAAUCGUGAACAUGAUUCAGAGGCUGGAGAUGAUGAAUCAAGGUGUGUUCAAGUUUGAUGAGAUUGCGAAGGUGAUGAUUAUCUUGAAGUUUAUGGUGAAUUUCUGGAGAAAUCGUGAAGAGAGGUGGAUGAAGAUUCGGGGAAGAGUUUGUUACGUUUCUUGCUCAGAGCCUCCGAGGGGUUGAAGAUUGAUGAAGAAGGUUGAAGAGUUUUCGGUUAUGAGUUUGUUACUAAUGAAUUUUCUAUUGCGUUUUUUUUCAUCUGCCAUUCUGUUAUGCUCUCCUCCUCUAAUCCUUUUCUUUUUCCUUUGUUAUACUGUUAUGCUCCAAGUGUAUGCAGCGGAAUUGGGCUGAAGGUUGGCUGAAGGAACCAGUUCGGUUCAGUUAUGCCGGUUUUUUUUCUCAUGUGCAAUUUUCCUGGUUUUUGUGAUAUAUCUGCUUAAGUGGUUUUAUUGUAGUGUUAUUAUAUGUUGCAGGGCUGGUUCACUUGGAGUUUUGGUGGUGAGGUUUCUUAAUGAUGGUGCCAGAUUAUACUUGUGCGCAAGGAAUUUGUACUGCAGAACUUCGGUGAAUUUUUUCUAAUUUCCGAACCGAUGCGAUUUUGUGUUAAAAUUGCAAGCUGCUUAGCCAUGAAGGCAAAGUUGAGGAGACGUGAGGAUGUCUAAAGUUGAGGAAGAUAGGUCUUAAUAGUCAGGGUCAUUCUUUGUAAUUUUGUACCUUAUAAUCCUUGUAUAAUCAUGAAUCAAAUUGAAACUUGUAAUUCUGAUUGUGUAAUUUCCUUAACUUUGGAUUCUUGAAUUGAACUUAGAACCUGUGAAAGAUAUCCAAAUUCAAACCGUGCCUUGCAUGUCUUGGAACUUGUUCUUUAAGAAA